rnacentral:lncRNA from 1 species
ACAAGAGACAUUGCAUCAGGACACUGAGGCAAAAUAUUACCAUAACUUUGUCAUAAAACCAAUAAUAAAUGUAUAUGAACAUACCAAGUAAACAUAUAUUAUGUAUCAUCUAACAUUAUAACGUAAUAGAAUAGUACAGUACUGUAUACUGUAAUAGAAUAGUGCAGUACUGUAUAAUGUAAUAGAAUAGUGCAGUACUGUAUAAUGUAACAGAAUAGUACAGGACUGUAUAAUGUAACAGAAUAGUACAGGACUGUAGAAUGUAAUAGAAUAGUACAGGACUGUAUAAUGUAAUAGAAUAGUACAGGACUGUAGAAUGUAAUAGAAUAGUACAAUACUGUAUAAUGUAAUAGAAUAGUACAGUACUGUAUAAUGUAAUAGAAUAGUACAGUACUGUAUAACGUAAUAGAAUAGUACAGUACUGUAUACUGUAAUAGAAUAGUACUGUAUACUAUAAUAGAAUAGUACUGUAUACUGUAUAAUGUAACAGAAUAGUACAGGACUGUAGAAUGUAAUAGAAUAGUACAGUACUGUAUAAUGUAAUAGAAUAAUACAGUACUGUAUACUGUAAUAGAAUAGUGCAGUACUGUAUAAUGUAACAGAAUAGUACAGGACUGUAGAAUGUAAUAGAAUAGUACAGUACUGUACAAUGUAACAGAAUAGUACAGGACUGUAUAAUGUAAUAGAAUAGUACAGUACUGUAUACUGUAAUAGAAUAGUACAGUACUGUAUAACAUAAUAGAAUAGUACAGUACUGUAUAAUGUAAUAGAAUAGUACAGUACUGUAUACUGUAAUAGAAUAGUACUGUAUACUGUAAUAGAAUAGUACUGUAUACUGUAUAAUGUAAUAGAAUAGUACAGGACUGUAUAAUGUAACAGAAUAGUACAGGACUGUAGAAUGUAAUAGAAUAGUACAGUACUGUACAAUGUAACAGAAUAGUACAGGACUGUAGAAUGUAAUCGGUCGGCUGGCCAAACUGAGCAAUCCCGUCUUGGAGCUCUACACAAAAUUCCUUCGACCUCAUGGCUUGGUUUUUGCUCUGACAUGCACGAUCAACUGUGGGACCUUAUAGACAGGUGUGGGCCUUUCCAAAUCAUGUCAAAUCAAUUGAAUUUACCACAGGUGGACUCCAGUCAAGUUGUAGAAAGGGCUUUGGUCAGGGAGGUGCUGAAGAACCCGAUGGACACUCGGACAGAGCUCCAGAGUUCCUCUGUGGACCUUCCAGAAGGACAACCAUCUCUGCAGCACUCCAACAAUCAGGGCUUUAUGGUAUAGUGGACAGAUGGAAGCCACUCCUCAGUAAAAAGCAC